rnacentral:rRNA from 1 species
AUUUUCUAUAAACAUCUUCCGAUACCUAAACUUUGUUACGACUUAUUCCAUUUUAUUGGAAGUGACGGGCGAUUUGUACAUAAAUCAAAACAAUUUUCAAAUUAAUUAAUUUAUCAAUUUUACUUUUAAGUCCACUUUCAUAAAAAAAUUAAAUUUUUAAAUCCAUAUAAAUAUAUAGAUUAUUGUAACUCAUUUUAAUCUUAAUUAAACUAUAUUUUGACUUGAAUUAUUCUAUAAAUAUAAAUUUUAAUUAUAUUUUUCAAAUAUAUUUUAAAACAGCAAUACAUAAAUAUUAAAUUAAGUAAAUCUUAUCGUGGAUCAUCAAUUACUAAAUAAGUUCCCCUAAAUUGAAUGAAAUACCGCCAAAUCUUAUAAAUUUAAUGAUUUAACAUUUAAUACUUUAAUAUUUAAUAUAUUAUUUUUUAUUAUAAUAGGGUAUCUAAUCCUAGUUUACUACAUAAUUUAUCUAAUUCAAUUUCUCUAAUUAUUAUUUAUUUUAAAUUUUCUAUAUUUCACCAUUAAAAAUUUAUUUAUUAUAAUUUAAUUAAAUUAUAUAUAUAUAUAUAUAAUAUAAUUUAAUUUAUAAAUUAAAAUCUAUUAAUAUUAUUUAUUGAUUAAAUUAAUUUUCAAUUUUAGUUUAACCGCUGUGGCUGGCACUAAAUUUACCAAUUAUUAACAAAAAUGUCUAAAUCUAAUUUUCAUUAAUUUUUUAAAUAUAAAUAUUAAAUUUAUUAUAAUUAUUUAAAAAUAAAAACUUAUUUAUUAUCUCUAUUUUAUAAUUAAUUUUCAAACAAAAAUUAAAUUUUUAAAAAUUAUAAUUUCAAGUAUAAAUCAAUUUAA